UUUGAUAUCUAUAGAUGAAAAGUAGGAUUCAAGUUGAGGUCACCACUGCUUUGAAAUAAAUAAAAUCACCAAACUAUUUCAUU
rnacentral:sRNA from 1 species